rfam:Flavobacterium sp. LM5 Flavobacterium_sp_LM5_contig3, whole genome shotgun sequence.
UUUGAGCCCUGAUCGCAGCGGUAUCCUUUUGGGGCGGGGUUCGCCCCAAAAGAUAUAGCGGAGAGCAGGAACCCUU